CUCAGUAUAGUUCAGAAAUAUUUGUUUCUAAACAUCACAGACUCCAUUCGACCACACGACUCAAGAUAUCAUCGAUUUUUGGGCUCAGAACACAUUGUACCCUACUGUACAACAAGAAACCCCAAAUAAUCCCAAGCCAACACAGAACCCCAAAUGGUUACUUCAACGAACCGACAGAGAACUCCCCAAAAUCAGUAUCUACUCCUUUCCCUUUUUGAGAAUCACAUAGACUCUUUGGAUCACAAAGGAUACC
rnacentral:lncRNA from 1 species